AGUUUCUCAGAGUUUAUUGCUUUUGAAGUCAAACAAAAAAGAGCUUUGUUCAUUGUCUUUCAGAUUUCAUUCUAAUUAAUCUCUUCGUAUUUCUCUUUUGUCUUUCGGAUUUUUGUUAUUCACACAUUCCUAUAGCAAAAAAACGAAGAAAAAAAAAAUACAAAACACAAAAAUAAAAAUAGUUUGCACUUUUAAUUUGUUAGAGGUUGUACUCACUCAGUUCAUUUCAAAGGUUUGAGUUUAUUGAACAAGUUGUUAGAGAUCAUUUAGUUUCUUCUUCUUUUGAAGCCAAAUUGCACCAGUCUUGUAGAUCGCAUCAUCAAUAGCAGAUUUUUACUCAAGUCACAAGGAAGAGGAGAAGAAACGAAAAUCAAUGGAAAUUUUAAUUUCUUUUGUUGCAAAAAUAGCAGAAUAUACCGUUGUGCCUAUUGGGCGUCAAGCAAGUUACUUGAUAUUCUACAAAGGUAACUUCAAGACGUUAAAGGAUCAUGUUGAAGACCUCGAGGCUGCAAGAGAAAGAAUGAUCCAUUCGGUUGAAAGAGAAAGGGGAAAUGGUAAAGAGAUUGAAAAAGAUGUUCUGAAUUGGUUGGAGAAAGUGAACGAGGUCAUUGAAAAGGUGAAUGGGCUUCAAAACGAUCCUCGCCGUGCCAAUGUCCGGUGCUCAACAUUGUCGUUCUCCAACUUGGUUUUAUGUCAUCAACUAAGUAGGAAAGCCACAAAAAUUGCAAAAGAUGUUGUUCAAGUUCGAGGAAAAGGGAUUUUUGAUCAAGUUGGUUACUUUCCCCCUCUAGAUGUAGUAGCCUCCUCCUCAACAAGAGAUGGUGAAAAGUAUGACACAAGGGAGUCGCUUAAGGAGGACAUUGUGAAGGCAUUAACAGAUUCCACUUCACACAACAUUGGGGUCUAUGGGUUGGGUGGGGUGGGUAAGACCACUCUGGUGGAGAAAGUUGCUCUAAUUGCCAAGGAACAUAGAUUGUUCGAUAAAGUGGUUAAGACAGAAGUUUCUAAAAAUCCAGACAUUAAAAGAAUUCAAGGGGAGAUUGCAGAUUUCUUGAGUAUGCGAUUUGAAGAGGAGACUAUUGUUGGCAGAGCACAACGCCUAAGACAAAGAAUCAAGAUGGAGAAAAGUAUCCUUAUCAUUCUAGAUAACAUAUGGACCAUACUUGAUUUGGAAAUAGUAGGGAUUCCAUUUGGCAAUAAACAUAAUGGUUGCAAAUUGUUGAUGACAUGCAGAAAUCAAGAAGUGUUGCUGCAAAUGGAUGUUCCAAAGGAUUUCACUUUCAAAGUUGAACUUAUGAGUGAAAACGAGACAUGGAGUUUGUUUCAAUUUAUGGUAGGGGAUGUGGUUAAAGACAGCAAUUUGAAAGAUCUACCAUUUCAUGUGGCCAUAAAAUGUGCAGGUUUGCCUCUUAGGGUAGUGACGGUAGCACGUGCAAUGAAAAAUAAGAGGGAUGUCCAAUAUUGGAAAGAUGCAUUAAGAAAAUUACAAAGUAAUGAUCAUACAGAGUUGGACCCGGGAACUUAUUCUGCUUUGGAACUCAGUUACAACUCAUUGGAGAGUGAUGAAAUGAGGGCUCUCUUCUUGCUUUUUGCAUUACUGGCAGGUGAUAUAGAGUACUUUCUCAAAGUUGCAAUGGGGUUGGACAUAUUGAAGCAUAUUAAUGCCAUGGAUGAUGCAAGAAACAGACUUUACACAAUAAUCAAAUCUUUGGAAGCGACUUGUCUUUUGCUUGAAGUUAAAACAGGUGGAAAGAUUCAAAUGCAUGACUUUGUUCGUGAUUUUGCUAUCUCCAUAGCACGUAGGGACAAGCAUAUAUUUCUAAGAAAACAAUCUGAUGAGGAAUGGCCAACCAAUGAUUUUCUAAAAAGGUGCACACACAUCUUUCUAAAAAGAUGUCAUACACUCGAGCUUCCUCAAAUGAUUGAUUGUCCAAACGUUAAGCUUUUCUAUUUGGACAGUAACAAUUCUUCUUUCAAAAUCCCUGAUGCUUUUUUUGAGGGUAUGAGAAGCCUUAGAGUGCUAGAUUUAACGCGCUUGAACUUGUUAUCAUUACCCACAUCGUUUCGGUUAUUAACAGACCUUCAAACAUUGUGUUUGGAUCAAUGUGUUUUGGAAAAUAUGGAUGCACUAGAAGCUUUGCAAAAUUUAGAAAUUCUUUGCCUUCGGAAAUCUUCAAUGACCAAGUUGCCAAGAGAAAUAGGGAGAUUGCUUCAAUUGAGAAUGCUUGAUUUGAGCCAUUCAGGAAUAGACGUAGUCCAACCUAACAUCAUAUCAAGCUUGACUAAAUUGGAGGAAUUGUACAUGGGAAAUACCUCUAUUAACUGGGAAGAUGUUAAUUCAACGGUUCAAAGUGAAAAUGCUAGCAUUUCCGAGCUUCGAAAACUACCCAUCUUGAAAGCUCUAGAAUUACAAGUUCGUGAGACUUGGAUGUUGCCGAGGGACUUGCAAUUGAUGUUUGAGAAGUUGGAAAGAUAUAAAAUAGCUAUUGGAGAUGUAUGGGACUGGUCUGACAUUAUGGAUGCAACCUUAAAAACAUUGAUGCUCAAACUUGGUACAAACAUACAUUUGGAGCAUGGAAUUAAAGCAUUGAUUAAAGGUGUUGAGAAUUUGUACUUGGAUGAUGUAGGUGGAAUUCAAAAUGUGCUUUAUCAACUAAAUGGGGAAGGAUUUCCAUUUCUGAAACAUCUCCACAUCCAAAAUAAUGCAAACUUGAAGCAUAUUGUUGACUCUAAAGAGAGGAAUCAUAUCUAUGCGUCCUUUCUCAUCUUGGAAACACUGGAACUUCUUAAUCUUAUAAACUUGGAGCAUAUAUGUCAUGGUCCACUUUCAAUUUCUUCUUUUGGAAGUCUCAGUGAUAUCACAGUAAAAAACUGCGGCCAGUUAAAAUAUCUUUUCUCCUUUACAAUGGUGAAAGGACUUUCUCACCUUUGUAAGAUUGAAGUUUGUCAGUGCAAUUCUAUGAAAGAGAUAGUGUUCAGAGACAACAAUUCAAAUGAAAAUAAUGAUAUAACUGAUGAAAAAAUUGAGUUUCUUCAAUUGCGUUCUUUGACUUUAGAACAUUUGGAGACACUUGAUAAUUUCUUCUCAUAUUAUUUGACACAUUCUAGAAAUAAGCAAAAGUGUCAUGGUUUAGAGCCGUGUGAUUCUGCACCAUUUUUUAAUGCUCAGGUUGCAUUUCCUAAUUUGGAUACCCUUAAAUUGAGCUCACUUCUCAAUUUGAAUAAAGUCUGGGAUGACAAUCAUCAAUCAAUGUGCAACUUGACUAGCUUGAUUGUGGAUAAUUGUGUUGGAUUGAAGUAUUUAUUUCCCUCUACUUUGGUUGAAAGUUUUAUGAACCUCAAACACCUUGAAAUAAGUAACUGUCAUAUGAUGGAGGAGAUAAUAGCUAAAAAAGACAGAAACAAUGCACUGAAAGAGGUUCGUUUUUUAAAUUUAGAAAAAAUCAUAUUGAAGGAUAUGGACAACUUGAAGACAAUAUGGCAUCGCCAAUUUGAAACAUCGAAGCUGUUGGAAGUGAACAAUUGUAAGAAAAUUGUGGUGGUUUUUCCUUCUUCAAUGCAAAACACAUAUAAUGAGUUAGAGAUGUUGAAGGUUACAGAUUGUGAUUUAGUUAAAGAGAUAUUUGAAUUGAAUUUGAAUGAGAAAAACAGUGAAGAGGUUACGACACAAUUGAAAGAGGUUACUAUAGAUGGACUGUUGAAGCUGAAAAAGAUAUGGAGUAGAGAUCCUCAAGGAAUUCUUAGUUUUCAAAAUCUAAUAAAUGUAAAACUAGAAAGUUGUGCAAGCUUGGAGUAUCUAUUACCAUUCUCUGUAGCCACUCGUUGCUCACAUCUCAAGGAACUUGUUAUAAAAUGGUGUGAAAACAUUAAGGAAAUUGUUGCAGAGGAGAAAGAAUUUAGCUUGAGUGCAGCUCCCAUAUUUGAGUUUAAUCAACUAAGUAGUUUAUUACUUUGGCACUCACCUAAACUCAAUGGUUUCUAUGCUGGAAAUCAUACUCUAGCAUGCCCAUCUUUGAGAAAAAUCAAUGUCUCUAGAUGUACAAAGUUGAAAUUGUUCAGAACACUAUCUACAAGAAGCUCCAAUUUUCGAGAUGACAAACCCUCUGUUUUAACGCAACCACCACUUUUCAUUGCCGAAGAGGUGAUUCCAAACUUGGAGCUGUUGAGGAUGGUACAGGCGGAUGCUGACAUGAUAUUGCAAACCCAAAACUCAAGUUCCCUCUUUUGCAAAAUGACCUAUCUUGGAUUGGCUGGCUAUAACACCGAAGAUGCUAGAUUUCCUUAUUGGUUUCUUGAAAAUGUGCAUACUCUUGAGAAACUACAUGUUGAGUGGAGUUGCUUCAAGAAGAUAUUUCAAGAUAAAGGAGAAAUAAGUGAGAAGACUCAUACGCAAAUCAAAACACUGAUGUUGAAUGAAUUACCUAAACUUCAACAUAUAUGUGAUGAAGGAUCUCAAAUUGAUCCAGUUCUUGAGUUCCUUGAAUACUUAAGGGUUCGUAAUUGUUCUAGUUUGACAAAUUUGAUGCCUUCCUCCGUCACCCUUAAUCAUCUCACAAAGUUAGAGGUAAUAAAAUGCAAUGAGCUAAAAUAUUUGAUCACAACUCCUACUGCACGAAGUUUAGACAAGCUCUCUGUGCUGAAGAUAAAAGAUUGUAAUUCACUUGAAGAAGUAGUUAAUGGAGUAGAAAAUGUUGAUAUUGUUUUUAUUAGUUUACAAAUUUUGAUGUUGGAAUGUUUGCCAAGCCUCGUCAAAUUUUGCUCUAGUAAGUGUUUCAUGAAGUUUCCAUUGUUGGAGAAAGUAAUUGUGGGGGAGUGUCCUCGCAUGAAGACUUUUUCAAUGGGAAGCACAAGUACCCCGAUUCUACAAAAAGUUAAAAUUGCAGAAAAUAAUCCAGAAUGGCUUUGGAAGGGAAAACUAAACCAUACAAUAUACAACAUGUUUGAAGAUAAGGUUGCAUUUGGUAAAUUCGUGUACUUAGCCUUAUCUGACUAUCCUGAGCUAAAGGAUGUGUGGUAUGGCCAACUUCAUCACAAUGUGUUCUGCAAUUUGAAACAUCUAGUCGUGGAAAGAUGUGAUUUUUUAUCACAUGUACUUUUUCCAUCAAAUGUUCUUGAAGUCCUACUUAGAUUGGAAGAAUUAGAAGUAAAAGAUUGUGAUUCAUUAGAAGCAGUGUUUGAUGUGAAAGGUAUGAAGUCACAAGAAAUAUUGAUAAAACAAAGCACUCAAUUGAAAAGAUUGAGUUUGUCUACUUUACCCAAACUGAAGCACAUAUGGAAUGAGAAUCCUCAUGAAAUUAUCAGCUUUGGAAACUUAUGCAAGGUGGAUGUUUCUAUGUGCCAAAGCUUGUUAUAUAUCUUUCCAUAUUCGCUAUGUCUAGAUCUUGGACAUAUUGAAAUGCUUGAGAUAGAGUCUUGUGGAGUCAAGGAAAUUGUUGCAAUGGAAGAAACUAUAUCAAUGGAAAUUCAAUUUAAUUUUCCCCAAUUGAAAAUUAUGGAACUGCGUGGUUUGUCAAAUCUCAAGAGUUUCUAUCAAGGAAAGCAUACUUUAGAUUGCCCUUCAUUGAAGACUUUGAAUGUAUCUCGUUGUGAAGCACUAAGAAUGUUUUCUUUCGACAAUUCAGACUUGCAACAACCUUACUCGAUUGAUGAAAAUCAGGACAUGCUAUUCCAACAACCCCUGUUUUGUAUUGAAAAGUUGAGCCCAAACCUGGAGGAAUUGGCAGUAAAUGGCAAAGAUAUGUUGGGGAUAUUGAAUGGUUAUUGUCAAGAAAAUAUCUUUCAUAAAGUCAAAUAUCUUCGUUUACAAUGCUUCGAUGAAACUCCAACUAUUCUUCUAAAUGAUUUCCAUACAAUAUUUCCUAAUGUUGAAACAUUUCAAGUGCGUAAUAGUUCUUUUGAAACAUUGUACCCCGCUAAAGGAGCCACAAGUUAUCUCAGUAUGCAAAUGUCAAAUCAAAUAAGAAAGUUGUGGCUUUUUGAAUUGGAAAAGCUCAAGCACGUAUGGCAGGAAGACUUUCCAUUGGAUCAUCCUCUGUUCCAAUAUAUUGAAGAGUUAUGUGUACUGAAUUGUCCAAGUUUGAUAAGCUUGGUACCAUCGUCAACAUCUUUCACAAAUUUAACCUAUUUGGAAGUGGACAACUGCAAAGAGCUGAUCUAUUUGAUAACAUAUUCAACUGCCAAAAGCCUAGUUCAACUCAAAACAUUAAUAAUAAUGAAUUGUGAGAAGAUGUUGGAUGUUGUGAAGAUUGAUGAUGAAAAAGCAGAGGAAAACAUCAUAUUUGAAAACCUGGAACACUUGGAAUUUACUUCGUUGUCAAGUUUAAGAAGCUUCUGCUAUGGGAAACAAACAUUCAUAUUCCCAUCUUUGCUCAGUUUCAUCGUUAAAGGAUGCCCUCAAAUGAAGAUCUUCUCAUCUGCACUCACAGUAGCACCAUGCCUCACAAAAAUUAACGUGGGAGAAAAAAAUAUGCGAUGGAAAGGUGAUCUUAACACAACGAUUGAACAAAUGUUCAAAGAAAAGGGGAGUAAGACAAGGGGACCCUUUGUCCCCUCUUCUUUUUUGUCUUGCAGAGGAAGUUUUGAGUAGAAGUCUCACUAAGCUGGUUAGAGAUGGACGUUUAAAGUUGAUUCAUGGCUCAAGAAGUAAUCAAGCACCUUCACACAUCCUCUAUGCAGAUGACAUUAUGAUUUUCUGUAAAGGUUUUACAAUUGGCACUUUACCCUUUUCAUACUUAGGUGUCCCAAUUUUUAAAGGCAAAGCUAAAUCUGCAUAUUUUCAACCAAUUGCUGACAAAAUAAAACUCAAGCUCUCAGCCUGGAAAGCAUCUCUCCUCUCUAUAGCAGGUAGAGUUCAGUUAGUGAAAAGUGUAAUUCACAGUAUGCUUCUUCACUGUAUUACAAUAUACUCUUGGCCAGUAAAUUUGAUUGAAGACAUUGAGAAAUGGAUGAGGAAUUUUAUAUGGAGUGGUGAUGUGAACAAGAGAAAACUAGUAACUGUGGCUUGGCACAAAGUGUGUGUUCCUGUCGAUGAAGGUGGAUUGGGUAUCAGAUCAUUGUCAAAUAUUAAUGAAGGUGCUAAUCUAAAAUUGUGUUGGGAAAUGAUUCAUUCUAACCUCCCUUGGGCACAUUUCUUGAAGAAUAGAGUAAUGAAGAAUCAACAACCAGUCAAAUAUCAUAUUUCCUCAUCUAUUUGGAGUGGAAUCAAACACAAAUACUCUGAAGUUAUCCUUAAUUCUGCUUGGUUAGUGGGAAAUGGCACUGACAUUAAUUUUUGGACAGAUAAUUGGAGUGGUGCACCUCUUGUCACAACUCUCAAUAUUUCUCGUGGUAUUCAGCCUUUUUUGAAAUCAAUUGUCAGCAAUUUCAUCAAUGAUUUCACCUGGAAUCUCCCAACAAGCCUCAUUCAAAUAUUACCUAACUUACAGUCAAUCACUGAUAAGGUUUGUCUUCCUAUUGUGGACAAAGAGGACCAGCUACUAUGGAAACACUCUCAUGAUGGUAGCCUCUCAUUCAAAGAAGCAUACCAAUAUCAUUGCACUAUUGGUCAAAAUAUUUAUUGGGCAAAAAGUAUCUGGAAUCUUGCUAUACCCCCUUCAAAAUCUCUCAUGGUUUGGAGAAGCUUGCACAACAAACUCCCAACAGAUGACAAGUAUCUGGAAUCUUGCUAUACCCCCUUCAAAAUUUCUUAGGGGCUUGCUUCUUUGGCAAGUUUCCUUUGCUUAAAAAAAAUAAAAAAAACUGACGGAAGUCUCGCAUUCUAAUUAAUAUGUUGAAUGAGACCAUCAUCUAUCCUCACAUUUGCAAGACGCAAGAAACAUGUGAGAAGUAGUGCCAAGGAGCUAUUAAUAUUGGCGUUUGAAAGACUUUCUUUAUUUUCUAUUUAUGUUGUUAUUUGAUUGGCUUGCAUGUCAAGUACCUUCUAUUGUAAUUUUACUCUCAUUGCUCUGGUGGGUAGCGUCGAAGGAUUCUUUUACUAUAUUACAUAUUUGUUAAUUGUCAUAUUCAAACAUGACAUUUUAGGUGGUGUUUCUGCGUGUUUGAUGGAUAUCACUCUUUUUAUUUCGAAAAAUUGAACAUUUCUAUUUGGACAAAUGGUAUGUAAUGUAUGCAUGCUCUGUCCUAAGCCUAUGUGCUAGUGUUUUGUGAAACUUUAUUAAAAGUCUAUUGGAAAUAUUGAAACUAUAUAAUUCAUAACAAACAAAGACAA